GACUUCCUGUAGACUGCAGCCGGCGGCUGUCUGUGUUUCUCCAUCGCCGGCCUGCUUCUGGUUAGCGCAGCUUUUCUCAAACAGAUGGAAGACAUUAAAGAGAAAGACAACAGGAACCGCACAUCAUGUGAUAAUGAGGGCCAAUCAGCUAAAGGUCAGAGGUAAAACAGGCAUCCCCAAUUGGCUGUGCAGUGAACUGUGAGAGAUGGAGUGGAGUUUGUUCAGGUCAACUGUUCACUCAUAUGCUUUUUCUAAUUCAUUUGUGGACUGAAAAGCACCAUGAAGCAGCAAAAGGACCACUGAGCUUGGAGAAAAUUCCGGUCUUGUGGGCAAACAGAGCGGGAAUGUCAUCUGGACAAGAGAGAGAGAGAUCUCAACAGGCUCCAAGUAAUGACACAAACACAUUACUGAGGUGAUAUUUUAACCUAAUAUGAAGUGUAUGGAACUAUA